rnacentral:rRNA from 1 species
AUGAUUCCAGGACCUGGAAUCGUACCAGCCGAUGGGUGGUGGUUUCUCGCUCGUUCAGCUGAUGGUGGUCAUUUGAUGCUCAUUCGCACGUACCAAAUUGACCAAACCAUUACAUCAAACCACAUGCAGUACAAUGCGUGGGGAGUUUGUGACAUUGAUGGCUAUGGCUGCUUCGUGUUCGAGAAAGAUCCCAGCUCUGUUGGGCCAGGCGUAUUAAACUGGAGGCAGGUUUACAGCCUCGGCAACCACUCCUUGUUCCUCGGGCUCAAUUAUCUGAUCAUCCAACCAAUAAUCGAUCAUAUCACCGAUGAUGAUUACCGUGCUAUGCAACUUCCAUUCACGAGGGGGGACUGUGUUUACGCAUCAUACCAUGGGUUUCAUGAAUCAUCAUAUCCAGAGAUUCGUCGACACAGCUUGUUGCCAGAUAAUCUUCAAUGUGUGAAAGGCAUCAAGCUUCCAUGCGAUGGAUGGCUUUUGCAAACCCAACAUGCGGCAAUUUUGAAGCACUCAUCUGGUUUGAAGGAUAGUAGAUACCUUCCUGGGAUCAAGUGCAUCCUAACUCACCUGCUACCAUAUAACUGGAAUUACCGAUGCAAGUCGAAGAAGGAUUGGCCGGUGCUACCGGCUAGCAUCAAGUUUGGUCCCACGGAUCAGGAGCUGAUCGAGCACCUUGAGGCCAAAGUGAGUGCUGACGGUGUGAGAUUUCAGUCUCUCAUCGAUUUGUUCAUACCAACCAUCGACAGCGAGCACGACAUAUGCUACACCCAAGCUGAGAAACUUCCAGGUAUCACACUGAGUGGCCUAAGGAAGCAUUUCUUUCAGCGCAAUUCUAGGGCAUUCAAAAGGGGCACACGGGCAGCAAAAAAGGUUCUGGUGCUGCACACCAACAAGAACUUCGACCAGCAGAGGACCAACUGGGUGAUGCACCAGUACCACCUCGGGGACCUGGAGCAAGAGAAGGAGCGGGAGCUAGCCCAGCCCAUGACAACAACGGGGCACAAAGAUCCAUCAGAAACCGCUGAAAACCCCGACAGCCCGUUUGAUACGCGAGUUUUCCACAGCCCAAUCCCUCCGAGCCCCCUCCGAUACCCCCCUUUCCACGCGGUUUUCAGCCCUCGAGGGGGGACUCGAGGAUUCAGAGGAGUCGCCACCGCCGCCGCCCGACUCCUCCUCAAGACGCCGCCGCCCGCCGCCUUUACGCCGACGUAUCUCCUCCGGCAUACCCCUGGCUGUACGUCCUCACCUCACCUCGCCUCCCCUCACCCCCUUUCCUCUCGUCAUCUAGGUUUCUUCCACCCCCCCGGCCAUGGCUGCUGCCUCGUCCUCCGCAGCAAGCUCGCCAAGUGCGCCGUCUUUGAGGGCAACUAG